rnacentral:rRNA from 1 species
GACAGAGGAUGCAAGCGUUAUCCGGAAUGAUUGGGCGUAAAGCGUCUGUAGGUGGCUUUUCAAGUCCGCCGUCAAAUCCCAGGGCUCAACCCUGGACAGGCGGUGGAAACUGCCAAGCUGGAGUACGGUAGGGGCAGAGGGAAUUUCCGGUGUAGCGGUGAAAUGCGUAGAGAUCGGAAGGAACACCAGUGGCGAAGGCAGCUCGCUGGGACGGUAUUGACGCUGAGACGCGAAAGCGUGGGGAGCAAACAGG